CCUACGGGAGGCAGCAGUGAGGAAUAUUGGUCAAUGGACGAGAGUCUGAACCAGCCAAGUAGCGUGAAGGAUGACUGCCCUAUGGGUUGUAAACUUCUUUUAUAUGGGAAUAAAAUGUUCCACGUGUGGGCUUUUGUAUGUACCUUAUGAAUAAGGAUCGGCUAACUCCGUGCCAGCAGCCGCGGUAAUACGGAGGAUCCGAGCGUUAUCCGGAUUUAUUGGGUUUAAAGGGAGCGUAGGUGGAUUGUUAAGUCAGUUGUGAAAGUUUGCGGCUCAACCGUAAAAUUGCAGUUGAAACUGGCAGUCUUGAGUACAGUAGAGGUGGGCGGAAUUCGUGGUGUAGCGGUGAAAUGCUUAGAUAUCACGAAGAACUCCGAUUGCGAAGGCAGCUUACUGGACUGCAACUGACACUGAGGCUCGAAAGUGUGGGUAUCAAACAGGAUUAGAUACCCUGGUAGUC
rnacentral:rRNA from 1 species